rnacentral:rRNA from 1 species
GACGGAGGGUGCUAGCGUUGUUCGGAAUCACUGGGCGUAAAGGGCGCGUAGGCGGCCUUGCAAGUCGGUUGGUGAAAGCCCGGGCUCAACCCCGGAGGUGCGGCCGAGACUGCAGGGCUGGAGGCCGGAAGAGGAGGGUGGAAUACCCAGUGUAGAGGUGAAAUUCGUAGAUAUUGGGUGGAACACCGGUGGCGAAGGCGGGCUACUGGGCCGAUACUGACGCUGAGGCGCGAAAGCCAGGGGAGCAAACGGGG